rnacentral:lncRNA from 1 species
CUGACAUGGGACAGGAUUUAUUUGGUUUUUGUUUGGGUUUUUUUUGUUUGUUUGUUUUUUUUGUAUCUUGUUUUGUUUUGAAACAAAGUUUUACUAGUUGUCUUGUUGCUGGGAUAAACUACUCCAAAAAAACCAAUGUAGGGGAGAAGGGUUUGUUCUGGUUCAAGUUCUAGUCCAUCAUGGCAGGGAAAGCAAGGAGGCAGGAACAUCAGGAGGCCAGACACAUCAUCAGGGCGGGAGCAGAGGGAGACAGAGGCCAGCAAAUACUUAGCUCCUUUCUCCUUUUCACUCAGUCUAAGGAAGGAGAGUCACCUCCCUCAGGUAGGGUGGCUCCCACCUCAUUAACCUCCCACAGACAUGCCCAGAGGCAUGGAAAUUAUACCACAGUUAUAAAAGAAAAUAAAUAAAUAAAUGAGAAAUGAAAACAAAGACAGCUACAUCCCAAUGGUUGUUUCUGCUGGGCGGAAGCCGGCAUCACAGGGAAACCCUGAGGUUCUGCCCUGUGACAGAUGCCAGCUCCAUCCUCCCCCCCCACACACACACUCUUUUCAGCAUUACACACACACACACACACACACACACACACACACACACACACAAGUGUGAAGCCUUAGGUUCAGCCCCCAGUACCACUGCCUUUUCCUGGGUGUGUGUUGGUGCCCAGAGGCAAUACCCGUG